rnacentral:rRNA from 1 species
CCUACGGGGGGCUGCAGUGGGGAAUAUUGGGCAAUGGGCGAAAGCCUGACCCAGCCAUGCCGCGUGAGUGACGACGGCCUUAGGGUUGUAAAGCUCUUUUGGCGGGGACGAUAAUGACGGUACCCGCAGAAUAAGCCCCGGCUAACUUCGUGCCAGCAGCCGCGGUAAUACGAAGGGGGCUAGCGUUGUUCGGAAUCACUGGGCGUAAAGCGCACGUAGGCGGACUUUCAAGUCAGGGGUGAAAUCCCGGGGCUCAACCUCGGAACUGCCUUUGAUACUGUUGGUCUCGAGUCCGGAAGAGGUGGGUGGAAUUCCUAGUGUAGAGGUGAAAUUCGUAGAUAUUAGGAAGAACACCGGUGGCGAAGGCGGCCCACUGGUCCGGUACUGACGCUGAGGUGCGAAAGCGUGGGGAGCAAACAGGAUUAGAUACCCUAGUAGUCC